rnacentral:lncRNA from 1 species
CAGUCAUGGCCUCCGGCAACGCGCACAUCGGAAAGCCUGCCCCUGACUUCACGGCCACCGCCGUGGUGGAUGGUGCCUUUAAGGAAAUCAAGCUUUCAGACUACAGAGGUGAAGCUGCUCGGAGGGGGAACGGGAGGGGACAGGGUCUACAUUUGAAAGAAGCUAGCACUAACUUCUCUUCCGCUCUCCUCUUCCCUAGGGAAGUACGUGGUCCUCUUUUUCUAUCCACUGGACUUCACUUUUGUUUGCCCCACGGAGAUCAUCGCUUUUAGCGACCACGCUGAGGACUUCCGAAAGCUAGGCUGCGAGGUGCUGGGAGUGUCUGUGGACUCUCAGUUCACCCACCUGGCCUGGAUCAAUACCCCACGGAAGGAGGGAGGCUUGGGCCCACUGAA